UACGAAGUGGCAAGCGUUGUUCGGAUUUACUGGGCGUACAGGGAGCGUAGGCGGUUGGAUAAGCCCUCCGUGAAAUCUCCAGGCUUAACCUGGAAAGUGCAGAGGGGACUGUUCAGCUAGAGGAUGGGAGAGGAGCGCGGAAUUCCCGGUGUAGCGGUGAAAUGCGUAGAGAUCGGGAGGAAGGCCGGUGGCGAAGGCGGCGCUCUGGAACAUUUCUGACGCUGAGGCUCGAAAGCGUGGGGAGCAAACAGG
rnacentral:rRNA from 1 species